UUAUUUGCACCUGAACUCAAGCAAGAUGACCCGCUGAACUUAAGCAUAU
rnacentral:rRNA from 2 species